rnacentral:rRNA from 1 species
CCUACGGGAGGCAGCAGUGGGGAAUAUUGCGCAAUGGGGGCAACCCUGACGCAGCAACGCCGCGUGAUUGAAGAAGGCCUUCGGGUUGUAAAGAUCUUUAAUUGGGGACGAAACAAAUGACGGUACCCAAAGAAUAAGCUCCGGCUAACUACGUGCCAGCAGCCGCGGUAAUACGGAGGCAGCAAGAGUUAGCCGGAUUUAAUGGGUGUAAGGGGCGAGUAGGUGGGCUGGGAAGUUGGGAGUGAAAUCCCGCGGCUUAACCGCGGAACUGCUUUAAAAACUGGCGGUCUUGAGUGACGGGGAGGCAGGCGGAAUUCGGGGUGUAGCGGUGAAAUGCGUAGAUAUACGGAGGAACACC